rnacentral:rRNA from 1 species
UACGUAGGGUGCGAGCGUUGCCCGGAUUUAUUGGGCGUAAAGGGCGCGUAGGCGGCCACGCACGUCCGUUGUGAAAUCGCCCGGCUCAACUGGGCGGGGUCGGCGGAUACGGCGUGGCUGGAGCAAGCUAGGGGGCAAUGGGACUCCCGGUGUAGUGGUGGAAUGCGUAGAUAUCGGGAAGAACACCAGUGGCGAAGGCGGUUGCCUGGAGCUUUGCUGACGCUGAUGCGCGAAAGCGUGGGGAGCGAUCCGG